rnacentral:ncRNA from 1 species
CAAGACGAUCCAGUUAGCGUGUUUUUUCGCCUGUUAUUUAAGGUCAUUAACCUUGAAAUAUUUGAGGGAUGACCUCAUUUAAUCUCCAGUAGCAUUUUGACCUUUACAGGAGGAAUUAUGCGUCUGGAUCGUCUUAC